UGCGCAGGCGGUUGGUUAAGUCUGAUGUGAAAGCCCCGGGCUCAACCUGGGAAUGGCAUUGGAAACUGGCUAGCUGGAGUGUGGCAGAGGGGGGUGGAAUUCCGCGUGUAGCAGUGAAAUGCGUAGAGAUGCGGAGGAACACCGAUGGCGAAGGCAGCCCCCUGGGCCAACACUGACGCUCAGGCACGAAAGCGUGGGGAGCAAACAGGAUUAGAUACCCUGGUAGUCCACGCCCUAAACGAUGUCAACUGGGUGUUGGGGAAGCGAUUCCUUGGUACCGUAGCUAACGCGUGAAGUUGACCGCCUGGGGAGUACGGCCGCAAGGUUAAA
rnacentral:rRNA from 1 species